rnacentral:rRNA from 2 species
UACGAGGGGGGCAAAUGUUGUUCGGAAUCACUGGGCGUAAAGGGAGCGUAGGCGGGCUCUUAAGUUAGGUGUUUAAUCCCGGGGCCCAACCCCGGACAGGCACCUAAAACUGGGAGUCUUGAAUAGUGGAGAGGACGGCGGAAUUGGGGGUGUAGCGGUGGAAUGCGUAGAGAUCCCCAAGAACACCAGUUGCGAAGGCGGCCGUCUGGACACAUAUUGACGCUGAGGCUCGAAAGCAUGGGGAGCAAACAGG